rnacentral:rRNA from 1 species
ACGAACGCUGGCGGCGUGCUUAACACAUGCAAGUCGAACGGAAAGGCCCUGCUUUUGUGGGGUGCUCGAGUGGCGAACGGGUGAGUAACACGUGAGUAACCUGCCCUUGACUUUGGGAUAACUUCAGGAAACUGGGGCUAAUACCGGAUAGGAGCUCCUGCUGCAUGGUGGGGGUUGGAAAGUUUCGGCGGUUGGGGAUGGACUCGCGGCUUAUCAGCUUGUUGGUGGGGUAGUGGCUUACCAAGGCUUUGACGGGUAGCCGGCCUGAGAGGGUGACCGGCCACAUUGGGACUGAGAUACGGCCCAGACUCCUACGGGAGGCAGCAGUGGGGAGUAUUGCACAAUGGGCGGAAGCCUGAUGCAGCAACGCCGCGUGCGGGAUGGCGGCCUUCGGGUUGUAAACCGCUUUCGCCUGUGACGAAGCGUGAGUGACGGUAAUGGGUAAAGAGGCACCGGCUAACUACGUG